CAGUGUGCUUAGAUAAAGGAGAGUCUUGUCUUUAAAAUGGUGUAAAAUAGUCAUAUGUUUGAAAAAUUGAAGUUUUCGGAUUUUCGAGGAGUUUGUAUUUCGCACCACGCCCUAUCAUUGGAUAUUGGAGUGGUGUUCCGCUAGCGGAACGUCUAGAUGUAAGAGGUUAUUAACAAUGGCGACACUGGGGAACCUGGUAAUGUUACUUAUGGUAUUUCAGUCUAUAAUGUUAUUAUCCCUUUAAGAGGAGCUCCGAAUGGAACCUACUGGUUGUGUGGAAAAAUGGCUUCCUAUAGCAUUCCCUCGAACUGGGGAGAGACAUGUACUGUAGGGUUUGUGGUGACUGCUAUGAGAACCGUUCCGAAUAAUGAGAGGGAUUGGAAUGCUUUGUUUAAAGACUACAGACAUCCUGGAAUGAGGAGAGAUAAGAGAUCUCUGGCUGACACCACUCACACUCAGGCACCUGCCUCCAGGUUCUUUGGGGUGUUUUUUCCUGGGUAUGGGGUUGCAUGUGCGUUAGACCAAGUUCAUAACAUCUCUAGACACAUAGAGAAAAUUGGCAAUGCUACUCCAAAUGCCCUGGAAGAAUUUAAUGGGGAAAUUAAAGAAUUGCGUAAGUUAGCUCUGCAAAACAGAGAGGCCCUUGACUAUUUUUUGGCAGGUCAAGGGGGCACUUGUGCAAUCAUUGGUGAUGAAUUUUGUACAUUUGUCCCAGAUCACUCUUCUAAUGUGACUGAUCUUGCUGAAUACAUUGCCUCUGUUGUUAAGAAUAAUUAUCCAAAACCAGAUUGGACGCUUGCAACUUGGAAUUGGAAUCUCUCCUUGGAAGUUGGGGAUCCCAAAUUGCCCAAUGGGCUACAGUGUGUGCUUUUUGUUUAGUUUGCUUAAUUGUGUUAUUAACAGGCUGUCAGGUGAUCUGUGCCUCUCUGGCUGGUAAGAUUUCAGCAGCUAUCAUGUUUUCUGUUCCUCCAGAAGAUGGUGAAACUAAUGAGCUGCCAACUAGCUGCCAUUUCCCCCUGUAGAUACGGACGAUGAUAAUGAUUGAAAGUUGUUUUUGUUUAACAAGAAUUGUUAAACAACAGGGUUUUAUAUUUUGACUAAGUUGAUGACCCAGGGACAGUUAGAAAAACAUAGGUCAAUCUAACCCGAUUGUGGUAAGAGAUAUGGAAACAAUGGAUAACAUUGAGAGAUUUAUUCACCUCUGAAUCUACAGAUCCCUUGUGUAUGUGUGUGUAUUUUUGAUAUUCACUCCCAUUAAUAGAAGUAUAACCUUUAUUAUGAUUAUAGUAUUACCAUACUAAGUGGAUUGUACAACCCAGAAUAUGAAGAGUUUGAAAUGAUGAAGUGUCAUGUUUUUUACUUUAAUAGGAGUAUAGGGAAUGAUUACAUUAAAAUGUAAUGAUUAUUAUCACACAAGUGAUAAGAGGAUGGAAUGUGAUUGACAUUUAUACAUGUGCUUUUCUUAUAACUAAUUUCUGUGUUCUAUUCAUGUGCUGUUCUAAUAACCAAUUUCUGUGUUCAUGCAAGUGACUGAUUGAACGAAUCCUCACUUCUCAGUAUCUGCAAUUUGGCAGUACACCCAGACCUUGUUUCGGUUAUCUCAGUUUCAAGGGCUCAGUUUAGAGAGAAGAAGCCUUGUGAGGUAUUGGUCUGUCACAUGUUAUUAACCAGUAUUGGUCAGUCACAUGAAUGAAACAAAGCAGUAAUGAUGAAUUAAUUAUGCUAAAUCAUGCAAAUGUGCCUUGUCUGUGUAUAGCCGUAUAUAGAACUAACGGGACUGCCCCAGCAGAGCUUCUGACAGACGUUCACUAUGGUGCAUCAAGUUUGUUGGAACCUCUCCAGCUUGGACCCUGAAGGACAUCACCCUCAACUGUAUACCCAGCACAUCACACAUAAGCAACAGAACAACGGACACCCCGACCAGACCAGCAAGACUCCCUCCCAGACCUGCAAGACCCCCUCCUGAAAGACCCGCACUGAGA
rnacentral:lncRNA from 1 species